CCUACGGGUGGCAGCAGUGGGGAAUAUUGCACAAUGGGCGAAAGCCUGAUGCAGCAACGCCGCGUGAAGGAAGAAGGGUUUCGGCUCGUAAACUUCUAUUAUCAGGGACGAAAGCAAUGACGGUACCUGAAUAAGAAGCCCCGGCUAACUACGUGCCAGCAGCCGCGGUAAUACGUAGGGGGCAAGCGUUAUCCGGAAUGACUGGGUGUAAAGGGUGAGUAGGCGGCAUGGUAAGCCAGAUGUGAAAGCCUUGGGCUUAACCCGAGGAUUGCAAUAGAAACUAUCAAGCUAGAGUACAGGAGAGGAAAGUGGAAUUCCUAGUGUAGCGGUGGAAUGCGUAGAGAUUAGGAAGAACACCAGGGGCGAAGGCGGCUUUCUGGAAUGAAACUGACGCUGAGGCACGAAAGCGUGGGGAGCAAACAGGAUUAGAUACCCCAGUAGUC
rnacentral:rRNA from 1 species